CUUACCUGCAGAAAAAAAAGAGGCACAGCAAGCAAUUCUAGAAAACAAGCGCAGACGGGACCUUUGGAAGUCACCUAGUCUGUCCCCUGCCCCACAGCAGCAGCAGCCUGAUGGACAUUGCUCCUAAAGCAACCACAACAACUUUGUCCAAACAUCCAGAACGUUAAGCUGAAGCAGUAAAAGGAAAUCAAGAAAAAGAUAAUACAGCUUCUACAUCAGGAGAUUCAUAAGGCCACAGGCUCGUUUUCAAGGAGCGUGGCUGACUCAAUCACUGCAGAUGUUUAAAGGCUGAAGUUGUGGAGGUAGUGUUUAACGCUAUGGCUCUUUGUCCUCCUGAUGGAAAAAUCCAGAUGGAAAGAAGUGUGGUUCACAGGGAAAUGAUCACCAAAUAAAACGCAAGGUGCUUUGGCGUGAUUUGUGGUGUUUACAUUGACAGAUCAGAAAGAAAUGGUUGUUGCAGUAGAAGGAAAAUCUUUACGUGCCUAUCGGACACGGUCUUCCUGUGAUUUCAUAGGAAACAAAGAUGUCUUUUGUCAAGGAGCUACGAAGAGCCGAGAGCAAAACUGGCAAAAAGGACUCUCUUCAAAAUAUUUAGGGUACGCUCACUGAAGUCCUGUUAUGAAACGAUAAAGUCUCGCACGUUAUGCAACUCUCCUUUGCUGUUAGAGACAUUCAGGAAACACGAGGUCUACAGAACAGAGAUUUUGCCCUGGGAUAACCCCGGAGCCACUGCUGCUAGAUCAACUGGUAGAGCUGGAAGAAUCAGGCAAGCUUUCAAAUAAGCAAGAAGGGCUAUAUUUUUUUUCUAAUUAUGCCGACUGAUCUAAUUAUACCCUGCCUUUACUGACGGCCCUUGCCUUAGAGCAGCACAGCAGCACUGCUGUUACUGAAACGCUGUGAUUUUUCAUAUUGCCAGAAGAUGGCAGAAGAAAGCAAUCUUGAAUGAUUUAAAAAUAUACAGUAUACUCAUGACUGGCUUUUAAGGGGAGCUGUUACUGAUAUAGAAGAAACUGCAGGGGCUGGAUGGAUGAAAAAUGUGAAGUGUACUGUACGAGUUAAACUGGUAUUGACCUGAGUGUAUACAUCAAAUUAUCUACAAAAAUCAGAGAGGUCGGGGGCUUUGAGUUACCCGAAGGCUUUACUCCUCCUCCCCCCCAGCCAGAGCGACGCUUCCCUUGUAC